GAGGCAUAGCCCAGCUGGUUAGAGCGCUUGCUUGACAUGCAAGAGGUCACAGGUUCGAUUCCUGUUGUCUCC
rnacentral:tRNA from 1 species